rnacentral:tRNA from 1 species
AGUCCUAUGGUCUAGUGGUAUGACGUUCGCUUCACAGCUUAACAAGUUCUCCUCCUCCACGGAGCACGAACGAGUAAACCUGGAGAAGCGCGAAAGGUCCUGGGUUCGAUCCCCAGUGGGACUA